rnacentral:misc_RNA from 1 species
UUUUCCCUGAAUAUUACGCGAUAGAAACUGUCUUUAGAAGUCCAUCAAGAUACUCCUUGAGUUUAACUUUUGUUAUCGCGCCUUCCCUUUUGCUGUCUGGGACUUCCUUUCCAUCUUUGAAGAGAAUCAAAGUUGGCAAUCCGUAAACUUUGUACUCUUCUAUGAGCUUGGGACUCGCGUCAUGAUCUAUCUUAACAACAGUGAUCUUUUCUUUGUACUCCUCAGCAACGGAUUCCAUGGCAGGACCAAUCAAACGGCAAGGUCCACACCAAGUAGCUACGAACUCCACAAGUACAGGACGAUCGGACUUCAAAACCACGUCGGAAAACUCAUCUUCCUUAAUCUCCGUCAAUCCACCGCCACAGCUUAUCCUCAAUGUCGAACAAUUUCGAAACCCUAACUUUCUCCCUCGAUUCCCAAUCGAAAACCUAACUUUUUUCCAAGCCAAAGAAGAAAACGAAGAACGAAAAGGAGAAGCGAAAUUACAAGUUGUAUUGAACGAAUGCGUCAUAGGAUAUGAAAUCCUCGAAGUUGAAGUAGCGACGGAAGCCAUUGUCGCCAUUGUUG